rnacentral:rRNA from 1 species
CCUACGGGUGGCAGCAGUGAGGAAUAUUGGUCAAUGGCCGGGAGGCUGAACCAGCCAAGCCGCGUGAGGGAAGACGGUCCUACGGGUUGUAAACCUCUUUUGUCAGGGAGCAAGGUGUAGGUCGGGACCUGCUGUGAGUGUACCUGCAGAAAAAGCAUCGACUACCUCCGUGCCAGCAGCCGCGGUAAUACGGGGGAUGCGAGCGUUAUCCGGAUUUAUUGGGUUUAAAGGGUGCGCAGGCGGAGUCAUAAGUCAGCGGUACAAUCGCGGGGCUCAACCCCGCCACGCCGUUGAAACUGGGUGCCUUGAGUGGGAGAAGGGUAGGCGGAAUGCGUGGUGUAGCGGUGAAAUGCAUAGAUAUCGCGCAGAACUCCGAUCGCGAAGGCAGCCUACCGGCGCGACACUGACGCUGAUGCACGAAAGCGUGGGUAUCGAACAGGAUUAGAUACCCCAGUAGAC